AUGUAUUAUCUGUAUAUAGUGUGACAAAAUGAUUUUCUUUCUUUCUUUUGGAUGUAUUAAUAAAUCUUGCUGUGAAGUAGCUGUGUUUACUAUGAUGAAACCCUCUUCUCCAAGCCAUUUUGCUAAGUCCAAGAUGUAUGGAUAUUGCCCAGGAUGAAAUAUAAUCCAUAAAGUGAUUUCUUUUUUUCCUUUAAAACCUAUCCUAAGUACAGUUAUUAAACUGUCCUUUGCUUAGAUUGCUGUAGAGUCUGAUUCUGCUCUUGGUUAUUCUCUGUUACUUUGUAAUAACAUUAGCUAAUUAGUUUUGCAAUCAACUCUGGGUCUUCAGUCUCUGUCCUGAUUCUAAUUAUAGUGCUUUCUAGCUCUGGAUCACUGGUCUGGAGACCAGAUCCUCUUCAUUUUGUCUUCUGGUUUGAGGAAGUUUAAUUCAAGGGGUAUAGAAUAGAAUUUUGUCAUGUAUGUUGUUACAUUUUCUGAGAUUUAAAAAAUAUAUACCUGCUUCAUCAAUGAAACUGGUAAGUUGGAGUUUGGCAUUAUUUUGAGGUUUAGCAUGUGGAUGAGAAAUGAUGGUCACUGAGGUGCUGUGAGUCUCUGGUCAGUUCUAGGGCAGGAUUGCCAGGCCAGGCAUGCAUGUGGCCUGGAUUGGUCAGACACUGGGAAUCACCACUGCCGUGUUCGGACACAGCUGCAUGCUGGGGAAAGGCUGCCAUUUGUGCCACCUUGCUGUGACUGGUGCAAACAAGACUGCCUUGGCUGGCACUAACCUUCCAGUGCCAGGAUUGGUCUCCAAGAGUGGCUUUUCCACAGUAGCUUGAAGGAUGUCUGCUCUUUAGAACUACACCUUGGACACUUCGCAGUCUCCAAGAGCACAGUCCACCUGGACUGAUUGUCAUCCACAGCAGCACUGUGGCUGGGUCUGAAGCUGAUGCCAGCUGAGGCGCUUGGCAGAGGUGCACAGGCAUGGAGCUGGGUUUUUUCAACUCUCCAAAGAGCUGCAGGGCCACGUCCUGACGUUGGCAUAGGCUGGCACUGUGCUUGGUAAAUGUUCAAUGAGGAAAGGUCUUGUCCAGUUCCUUGUUUUGGUCAGUAAAUGCCAUGGGUGGUGUGGGUGGGAGGCUGCUGCCUGCCAUCUGGGACUCUCUAGAGACAGGGCAGCAGCUCCAGCAGAUGUCAGCUCCAGCCGAUGUCAGCUCCAGCCUCACCCCCCUGGUUACCGUGAGUGAUGCACCAGGUGCUGGGAGCCUUCUUCUCCAUGCUGGGAGCCUUCUUCUCACACUUCAUGCAGACUGCGACUUCUUCGUGUGGA